rnacentral:lncRNA from 1 species
GGGCCGGGCCGCCUGAGGAACCGCAAAGGCGGCGGCGAGGAGGGCGGCUGAGGGGAGCGAGAAGGAGACGGAUGGGGGGCGGGGAGGGGACCGAGGGCCGCGCCGCCGGGCUUCGGGGACGGUGACCCUGGACGCGCAGGAGAGGCCCCGCGGCCUCGUCCGCCGACGCGAAGGCCCCUGCCCGAGGAAGCUGCGCCCCCGCAGCCGCUGAAGCCGCGGCUAUUACUCCGAGAGCCGCUCAGAGCCUGGCCUUGGCCUUGGCCUCCUGGCGCUGGGGCUGCCGCCGCUGCGGGGGUUGCUGCUGCGCCUGCUGCUGCCGGGGCCGAGAGUGCUGCACCGAGACGCCAGCUUUCGGUGCCUCCGCUCUCGCUCACACACGUUCACACCCCAGAGAGUCGGGGGAGAGGCGUCCGCGCGAUAUCGGUAUUGAGAUUAAUAACAAGGUGCGGAGAGUGCGAGAAGGAGGAGGGUUGAUUGACGUGGAGGGGCUGGCGAGAGUCAGUCACUCCCCCGCGCGGAGGGGUGGGGUGAGGGGGGAGGAGGCGGAGCUUCAGCACCGAGCCUUGGCCCCGCCCCCAGGGCGCCGCGUUUGGUCGUAGUGCGCGUGCGCGCGGGGCUGCCAGCUCUCUUGCCCAUUUCCUUCUUUACCCUUGCUGUUUUCUUACUCGUUUCUCUUGGCAUGAGUGAAGAGCCGAGCUGGGGAGGCUGGUCGGUUAUCAGAAAGACACAGCCGCAAAGCCACGGGGGGUGGCGGGAAGACAGUAGCGAUCCCGCCUCACCCAGUGUUCGCGCCGGGACUCGGCUCUGUUUCCUGCGCGCUCGCCUGAGGCGGCCUGACCGCGAAGCCCAGCCAGCGCUGCUCGAGGCGGCGAUUGGGACGCCAGGUUUCUCAAGAGGCGAUGUUUUUAUGCAGUAUGCAAACUGAACCACCCUAUUACCGUAUGCUGCAAUUAUCCAUGUAAGUACAUAUCCAUCAUUCACUUCCUAGACUGUAAGCUCUGCCUUUAUCCCUGUGUGCUGUCAGACACAGCAUCACAGACUGUCUGACAAAUAAUGCUCAAGGAACAUUUGUUUAAUUCAUUAAUUGAGAAUAGUACUUCUCAAAUCAUACCAUAUGUCAAUUUACUAGCAAUUUGCUGCUAGUAAAAGAAAUCAGAAAUAACAGUCACAAACAAAAUACAUUUUAUUUUUCUCUCACAUAAAAGAAGUCUGAAAAUAGUUGAUUCAGGGCUGAUAUGGCCCAUCUAUGAUCGGUAGGAACAACUCUCCUUCUCUCUUUGGUUUUGCCAUCUUUAGAACAUACCUUUCUUUCCUUCCUCAUAGUCUGAGAUGGCUGCCAGGACCUUCUCAUAUGGUUGUGCCAUUUGUUUACUGCAAAGGCACCCU